rnacentral:rRNA from 1 species
CCCAACAUCGAAGCCUCUAUACUUUUGUGUAGACGGCAAUGUGAUGUAAUGGUGAUCGACUUCGCAGGUUGGCUAACUUGAAGUCCAUAUUUGACUGUGGCUUGUGCGUAUGCACCCAGAGAUGGUGAAAGGCCCGUUCAGGUUGGUAUUCAGAUAUGACAACUUGCGUAGAUUCGUUCGCCAAUGAGUCGGAUUGCUUGAGAGUGCAGUCCAAAUUUGGUGGUAAACUCCAUCAAAGGCUAAAUACCUGUACGAGUCCGAUAGACAACAAGUACCGUGAGGGAAAGUUGAAAAGUACUCUGAAGAGAGAGUAAAUAGUACGUGAAACUACAUGGAGGUUAAACAGAUGGAGUCAAGUUGCGUGUCAUUGUUCAUUGCACGAGUUAUAGAGCUUUGCUGAUAGUGUGUCGUUUUACUUGUCUUUUUGAAGGCGUCUGGCAUUAAUUUGUCCAGGGAAAACGGCAUGCUUAUUUAGCUCGUGUUUAUGACAGUGAUAAGUGCCACAGUCAAUUGGUUUCCGACUGCUAAUAUUCAGCAUUGGUGCAGGUUUGAACUGAGUUCUCCUGUGCAAGUGAUGAACAGUUGGCAGGAUUUCGUGCUUGCAUGCUAUCCUGUCUAACAAGGCUACGGCCAGUUGAAUGUUAGUUAGUUGUGAGACGGAUUGGUGAAAUAUGCUUGUUAAAUUCGUGCUAUCUGACAACAUC